UCAGAAGUAGAAAGAUGUUUGCCACCUUCUCCUUGUCCGGAGUGAGAUAGUGUGGAACUGUCCUAUGCAUCCAUCGCCUCCCUCCAUCAUUAAGACAGCUAAAGGGCAGGAUUCUUUGCUUGUUUCUUGUUUGUUCACUGCACGUGUACAUUGGAGAAUUGGUCUGAAGCACCGGGACAAGCCAUUACCUCGACCCCUGUCACUGCUUAUGAGAAAGUAGCUUCCUCAGGAUGUCUCCCAUCUCCACCUUGCAAAGCUAGCUCUCCGGCACUAACACAGGACCAGGAGGUGGGAGAGGGACAGCAGCCACUACUAUUUGCCUGGUUCGUUGUCUCCAUCCGCCUGUCCGGAAUGUGAGCUCCGGGUAGGGCAGCAUAGUCAUCUCUUUUGGACACUACAUAUAUCGCCAGCACCUAGGACAGCGCCUGGUACAUUGUGGACACUCGAUAAGUCUUUGUUGAAUAAAUGAACAAAUUGGUUGUGA